CAGAUGAAGCAGAUGCUAGUUAAUUAGAAUUUACGUCGCUGGAAAUUUAUGAUUACAUGGUAAUCGUGAUGCAUCAUCAUUGUAGAUGAUAUAUGCAUCUAUUGUGGUACAAAACUAUUAAUAUGGAAAAUCCGAAAUAUGUGAUAUAAGUAUCUUCAUGUGGAAUAGAAGGUGAGAAGUAUCGAGUAUAGUAGUCUUACCAAGGCAGUCAAGAGCAGAUUGUGGCAUUAUGACUGGAAAUAUUCAAGUCAU
rnacentral:lncRNA from 1 species